GAAGCGACAAAGAGAUUUGCUUCAAAAUUUUUAGGAGGGGGUAAUGCUGGUUAACUGUCAAACGUGACGUCAAAGAAUUAUACACCAAAAAAAAAUUCACGACCGCAGGUAUAAUUAUUUCUAGAUAUUAUGCAUAAAAGACU